rnacentral:rRNA from 1 species
GUUCCCAUUCCGAACACAGAAGUUAAGCUUGUCAGGGCCCAAAGUAGUUACAGGAACGCCUGUUGCAAGGUUAGGUCGAUGCGAUGC